rnacentral:rRNA from 1 species
UACGUAGGUGGCAAGCGUUGUCCGGAUUUAUUGGGUUUAAAGGGUGCGUAGGCGGUCUUUUAAGUCAGUGCUGAAAUAUCCCGGCUUAACCGGGAGGGUGGCAUUGAUACUGAAGGACUUGAGUAAAGUUGAGGUAGGCGGAAUUGACGGUGUAGCGGUGAAAUGCGUAGAUAUCUGGAGGAACACCGGUGGCGAAGGCGGCGUCCUGGACCAACACUGACACUGAGGAGCGAAAGCCAGGGGAGCAAACGGG